UAUAUAUAAUGCAAACUAUAACAUUGUAAAAGUAAUUUUAAAAAAUGAAAGUGGUGUCAUCAUAGGCGUGCUCCAUACCCCCAAACCUUACCUCCCUUUUCACGUAUUCAGACACAAAAAAGCGAAAGAGCGUGCCUCGAUCACCCAAUAGGUCAAUUUGGCCCAUUAGCCAGGAAGAAGCAGAUCCUGAGUGUUUUCAACCACAGACUCCAUCCCUCCCGAUUUGCAACCAUCCCCAGACCAGUGACAGGUGCAUAGGCAGCCAUGUCAUUGGAACUAAGUAAGGAGGAAGCCAGUGGAAACAAUGAAAGGGGCCACUCUGGUUAUCACCUUGGGGUCAGGGGUGUGCCGUAUACCCCCAAACCUUACUUCCCUUUACACGUAUUCACACACAAAAAAGCGAAAGAGCGUGCCUCAAUCACCCAAUAGGUCAAUUUGGCCCAUUAGCCAGGAAGAAGCAGAUCCUGAGUGUUUUCGACCACAGACUCCAUCCCUCCCGAUUUGCAACCAUCCCCGAACCAGUGACAGGUGCAUAGGCAGCCAUGUCAUUGGAACUAAGUAAGGAGGAAGCCAGUGGAAACAAUGAAAGGGGCCACUCUGGUUAUCACCUUGGGGUCAGGGGUGUGCCCUGUACCCCCAAACCUUACUUCCCUUUAUCUGUAUUCACACACAAAAAAGCGAAAGAGCGUGCCUCGAGCAGCCAUGUCAUUGGAACUAAAGAAGGAGGAAGCCAGUGGAAACAAUGAGAGAGGCCACUCUGGUUAUCACCUUGGGGUCAGGGGUGUGCCCUGUACCCCAAACCUUACUUCCCUUUACACGUUUUCAGACACAAAAAAGUGAAAGAGCGUGCCUCGAUCACCCAAUAGAUCAAUUUGGCCCAUUAGCCAGGAAGAAGCAGAUCCUGAGUGUUUUCGACCACAGACUCCAUUCCUCCCGAUUUGCAACCCCAUGGACCAGUGGAGGAAGCAGAUCGUGAGUGUUUUC